AUCUAGCUGAUGAGUCCCAAAUAAGAUGAAACGCGCGUCCUGGAU
rnacentral:hammerhead_ribozyme from 1 species